GACGAACGCUGGCGGCGUGCUUAACACAUGCAAGUCGAGCGGAGCGUCGGACGGGUGAGUAAUGCCUAGGAAUCUGCCUGGUAGUGGGGGAUAACGUCCGGAGAGGGGCGCUAAUACCGCAGACGCUCAGAUGAGCCUAGGUGGGAUUAGCUGGUUGGGGGGGUAAAGGACUACCAAGGCGACGAUCCGUAGCUGGGCUGAGAGGAUGAUCAGUCACACUGGAACUGAGACACGGUCCAGACUCCUACGGGAGGCAGCAGUGGGGAAUAUUGGACAAUGGGCGAAAGCCUGAUCCAGCCAUGCCGCGUGUGUGAAGAAGGUCUUCGGAUUGUAAAGCACUUUAAGUUGGGAGGCGUUACCAACAGAAUAAGCACCGGCUAACUCCGUGCCAGCAGCCGCGGUAAUAC
rnacentral:rRNA from 1 species